rnacentral:rRNA from 1 species
UGGGGAAUCUUGGACAAUGGGCGCAAGCCUGAUCCAGCCAUGCCGCGUGGAUGAUGAAGGCCCUAGGGUUGUAAAAUCCUUUCGUUGGGGACGAUAAUGACGGUACCCAAAGAAGAAGCUCCGGCUAACUUCGUGCCAGCAGCCGCGGUAAUACGAAGGGGGCUAGCGUUGUUCGGAUUUACUGGGCGUAAAGCGCGUGUAGGCGGGUCGUUAAGUUGGGGGUGAAAUCCCGAGGCUCAACCUCGGAACUGCCUUCAAAACUGGCGACCUGGACUCAAGCAGAGGCAAGUGGAAUUGCGAGUGUAGAGGUGAAAUUCGUAGAUAUUCGCAGGAACACCAGUGGCGAAGGCGACUUGCUGGGCUUGUAGUGACGCUGAGACGCGAAAGCGUGGGGAGCAAACAGG